rnacentral:rRNA from 1 species
UACGGAGGGGGCCAGCGUUGUUCGGAAUCAUUGGGCGUAAAGGGCGCGUAGGCGGCCGAGCAAGUCGGAGGUGAAAUACUCUGGCUCAACUGGAGAAUUGCCUCUGAAACUGCUCGGCUUGAGUCCUGGAGAGGGUAGUGGAAUUCCCAGUGUAGCGGUGAAAUGCGUAGAUACUGGGAGGAACACCGGUGGCGAAGGCGGCUACCUGGACAGGUACUGACGCUGAGGCGCGAAAGCUAGGGGAGCAAACAGG